CUUAACCAACUGAGCCACCCAGGUGCCCUGGAGUGUGCUUUUUAAUCAUGGGGGACACAGGUGACAUCCGGAAUAAUCUGGCUCUGCCUUCCUGACACAGCCACUUGGACAUCUCAGUGUCUCAACCUACUGUAUCCAAAAGUGAAGUCUUGAUUUUCUGCUCUUCCCCUGCCUCGGUCACAUUUCCCCUCCCUGGCAUUUCGGACUCAAGGUGCCCCGCUAAUGUCCUACUCCGGACCAGAAUCCAACCCAAGAUCGCAGGUUGGGAUUCAUUUUGAAAUGUACUUCUCCCUCACCAUCUACAUUUAACCCAUCAUCAAGUUCCAUUGAUUUUUUCCGCCCGAAUACUUCUUCAAUCCAUACACUGAGCAAGCCCCUACAACAAGUCCCUAUCCCCAGUACCUGGAUGACUGAAGCGACCUCCUAAUUGGUCUCCCUCUUUUAGUCUCCCUCUAAUACAGAGGCCACAUAGUUUCUGUGUAAAGGGCUUGAUAGUAAAUAUUUUAGGUUUUUCUGGCCAUGCAAUCCCCAUUGCAAUUUACUCCACUCCGCCAUUGCAACGUGGAAGCAGCCAUAGACAAUAUGUAAACGAGUGGGUG